GUGGGGAAUCUUGCGCAAUGGGCGAAAGCCUGACGCAGCCAUGCCGCGUGAAUGAUGAAGGUCUUAGGAUUGUAAAAUUCUUUCACCGGGGACGAUAAUGACGGUACCCGGAGAAGAAGCUCCGGCUAACUUCGUGCCAGCAGCCGCGGUAAUACGAAGGGGGCUAGCGUUGCUCGGAAUUACUGGGCGUAAAGGGCGCGUAGGCGGACAGUUUAGUCAGAGGUGAAAGCCCAGGGCUCAACCUUGGAAUUGCCUUUGAUACUGGCUGUCUUGAGUUUGGGAGAGGUGAGUGGAACUCCGAGUGUAGAGGUGAAAUUCGUAGAUAUUCGGAAGAACACCAGUGGCGAAGGCGACUCACUGGCCCAAUACUGACGCUGAGGCGCGAAAGCGUGGGGAGCAAACAGGAUUAGAAACCCGUGUAGUCC
rnacentral:rRNA from 1 species